GUCUUCUGAGAAGAAAUGGGAGAACAAGAAAGGAAGAAAAAUAGAAGAAAAGGAAAUGGAUGCUCCGAAUGUGAUUCCGUUUUAACAAAUUAUGUUAAUAUAAUCCUAUUCAAAUUUUCAAAUUUCAAUCCUGGGAAUCGUUAUCUUUUUAUUCAAAAUUUAUAAUCGUUUUCCACCCCCCAUCUAUAAUACCUUUUCAAAAAUCUCACUCUGUUUCUUUUACCCCUUGAACCUCUUCAGCAAUUGUUCCCUUUGUUAGCCAAAAUGAGAGAGUUCACAUUCGUCAAGCUGGUAACACCUGUUGGGAACUCUACUGUCUUCAACAUGGCAUUCAAGUCUUUCUUGUGUUCAUUUUCCAAUACAAACUCAAUAUUUUCUCCUUUUUCUUCGUUGGUUAUUUAAUCUUCUUUCGUUCUUUUUUUUUAUCUUGAACCGACCAUAAUUGAUGAACUUAGAACCUAUUAUUCCACCAUGAACAACUUAUUAGGGGCAAAGAAGAUGCUGCAAUCAACUUUGCCAGAGGCCACUACACAAUUGGGAAGGAAACGGUGGAUCUGUGCCUUGGUAGGAUCAGGAAGCUAGCAGAUAACUGUACUGGACUUCAAGGGUUUUUGGUGUUUCGUGCUUGGAUAAUUGCUUCUUAAAACGCUUUCAGUGGAUUAUGGUAAGAAAUCAAAAUUGGGCCUCACUGUUUAUGCUUCCCCAGAGUUUCCACAUCUGUUGUAGAGCCUUACAAUAGUGUUUUGUCAACCCUUUCUCUGUUAGAGCACACUGAUGAUGCGGUUCUCCUUGAUAAUGAAGCUUUUUGCCGAAGGUCUCUCGAUAGUGAGGGGCCUGCUUACACUAAUCUCAAAAGGCUGGUCUAACUUUGUGGGUUGAAGUGGUUUAGGUAUUUGUUAUAGAAAUCUGGAGUAGUUUUCCUCUAUUUAGGUGAUGGAUUUUAGAUUUGAGGGAUGUUGAGAGGGAAUAUGAAAUUGUUUCUUCUUCAUUCAUACCUUCUUAUGUUUAGCAAAUCAUAUGCAUUCAUAAGUAUGAUGUUCAUACAGAUAAAUGUAAUAUGAAGUUGAUAAUGAAGUCGAGCAAAUUAUAUUAAGGAAA